rnacentral:rRNA from 1 species
AUUAAACGCUGGCGGCAUGCCUUACACAUGCAAGUCGAACGGCAGCACGGGGGCAACCCUGGUGGCGAGUGGCGAACGGGUGAGUAAAGCAUCGGAACGUGCCCUGGAGUGGGGGAUAACGUAGCGAAAGUUACGCUAAUACCGCAUAUUCUGUGAGCAGGAAAGCAGGGGAUCGCAAGACCUUGCGCUCUGGGAGCGGCCGAUGUCGGAUUAGCUAGUUGGUGGGGUAAAGGCCUACCAAGGCGACGAUCCGUAGCGGGUCUGAGAGGAUGAUCCGCCACACUGGGACUGAGACACGGCCCAGACUCCUACGGGAGGCAGCAGUGGGGAAUUUUUGGGACAAUGGGCGAAAGCCUGAUCCAGCCAUGCCGCGUGAGUGAAGAAGGCCUCGGUUGUAAGAC